rnacentral:rRNA from 1 species
CAGCAGCCGCGGGAAUACGAAGGGGGCUAGCGUUGCUCGGAAUGACUGGGCGUAAAGGGCGCGUAGGCGGAUUGUUUAGUUAGGCGUGAAAUUCCUGGGCUUAACCUGGGGACUGCGCUUAAUACAGGCAGUCUAGAGUGAGGAAGAGGGUUGUGGAAUUCCCAGUGUAGAGGUGAAAUUCGUAGAUAUUGGGAAGAACACCGGUGGCGAAGGCGGCAACCUGGUCCUUGACUGACGCUGAGGCGCGAAAGCGUGGGGAGCAAACAGGAUUAGAUACCCGAGUAGUCCCUGUCUCUUAUAC